UGGGGAAUUUUGGACAAUGGGCGAAAGCCUGAUCCAGCAAUGCCGCGUGUGUGAAGAAGGCCUUCGGGUUGUAAAGCACUUUUGUCCGGAAAGAAAUCCUUGGCUCUAAUACAGUCGGGGGAUGACGGUACCGGAAGAAUAAGCACCGGCUAACUACGUGCCAGCAGCCGCGGUAAUACGUAGGGUGCAAGCGUUAAUCGGAAUUACUGGGCGUAAGGCGUGCGCAGGCGGUUUGCUAAGACCGAUGUGAAAUCCCCGGGCUCAACCUGGGAACUGCAUUGGUGACUGGCAGGCUAGAGUAUGGCAGGAGGGGGGUAGAAUUCCACGUGUAGCAGUGAAAUGCGUAGAGAUGUGGAGGAAUACCGAUGGCGAAGGCAGCCCCCUGGGCCAAUACUGACGCUCAUGCACGAAAGCGUGGGGAGCAAACAGGAUUAGAUACCCUGGUAGCCCACGCCCUAAACGAUGUCAACUAGUUGUUGGGGAUUCAUUUCCUUAGUAACGUAGCUAACGCGUGAAGUUGACCGCCUGGGGAGUACGGUCGCAAGAUUAAAACUCAAAUGAAUUGACGGGGUCAUAGCUG
rnacentral:rRNA from 1 species